CGGGGUUUUGCCAUCUUGGCCAGGCUGGUCUCGAACUCCUGACCUCAGGGGAUCCACCUACCUCAGCCUCCCAAAGUGCUGAGAUUACAGGCGUGAGCCACUGCACCCGGCCGCCAUGGGGUUUAAAUUUCUACAAAGAGACUGGGGAUGGGGAUGGGGAUGUGGAGCUUCCUGUCCAUCCCCCACCUCAGCACUGUUCACUGUGUCCAAAUCUAAGAUGCCAGCCAGAGAACUAAGAUCAAGUGUGGUCUUCAGGAAUGGCUUGCUCCAGCUGCAGCAUAGCCUGUGCAGUGCAACUUAAGAUUUUUUCCAAAAGAUACUAAGCAGCAGGCCCCAUGUUGGGGAGUCAGGAUGGGGGUCUCUGCCCUGACAGAACUCACAUCUUUGGGAGGUGACUCCCUGUCCUGUUGUGUUCCAGACAUCAACGAGUGUGCAACACCAUCGAAAGUGUCAUGCGGAAAAUUCUCGGACUGCUGGAACACAGAGGGGAGCUACGACUGCGUGUGCAGCCCGGGAUAUGAGCCUGUUUCUGGGGCAAAAACAUUCAAGAAUGAGAGCGAGAACACCUGUCAAGAUGUAGACGAAUGUCAGCAGAACCCAACGCUCUGUAAAAGCUACGGCACCUGCGUCAACACCCUUGGCAGCUAUACCUG
rnacentral:lncRNA from 1 species